rnacentral:rRNA from 1 species
UACGGGGGGGGCAAGCGUUGUUCGGAAUUACUGGGCGUAAAGGGCGUGUAGGCGGCCAACUAAGUCCGACGUGAAAUCCCCAGGCUUAACCUGGGAACUGCGUCGGAUACUGGAUGGCUUGAAUCCGGGAGAGGGAUGCAGAAUUCCAGGUGUAGCGGUGAAAUGCGUAGAUAUCUGGAGGAAUACCGGUGGCGAAGGCGGCAUCCUGGACCGACAUUGACGCUGAGGAGCGAAAGCCAGGGGAGCAAACGGG